rnacentral:rRNA from 1 species
GAUGAACGCUGGCGGCGUGCUUAAUACAUGCAAGUCGAACGAGAAACUUUUGUCUUCGGAUGGAGGUUUUCUAGUGGCGAACGGGUGAGUAACGCGUUGGUGACCUGUCCCGAAGUGGAGAAUAACAGUUCGAAAGGACUGCUAAUACUUCAUGAUAUCAAUUGGAUUAGAUACCUUUUGAUCAAAGGCGAAAGCCGCUUUGGGAGGGGCCUGCGUCCCAUCAGCUAGUUGGUAGGGUAAUGGCCUACCAAGGCAAAGACGGGUAGGGGACCUAAGAGGGUGACCCCCCACACUGGCACUGAAACACGGGCCAGACACCUACGGGUGGCAGCAGUAGGGAAUUUUGGACAAUGGGCGAAAGCCUGAUCCAGCAACGCCGCGUGCGCGAUGAAGGCCUUCGGGUUGUAAAGCGCUUUUAGAGGAGAUGAGAAAGGACAGUAUCCUCUGAAUAAGCCUCGGCGAACUACGUGCCAGCAGCCGCGGUAAUAC